rnacentral:rRNA from 1 species
GACGGGUGAGUAACACGUGGGCAACCUACCCUAUAGUUUGGGAUAACUCCGGGAAACCGGGGCUAAUACCGAAUAAUCUCUUUUGCUUCAUGGUGAAAGACUGAAAGACGGUUUCGGCUGUCGCUAUAGGAUGGGCCCGCGGCGCAUUAGCUAGUUGGUGAGGUAACGGCUCACCAAGGCGACGAUGCGUAGCCGACCUGAGAGGGUGAUCGGCCACACUGGGACUGAGACACGGCCCAGACUCCUACGGGAGGCAGCAGUAGGGAAUCUUCCACAAUGGGCGAAAGCCUGAUGGAGCAACGCCGCGUGAGUGAAGAAGGUUUUCGGAUCGUAAAACUCUGUUGUAAGGGAAGAACAAGUACAGUAGUAACUGGCUGUACCUUGACGGUACCUUAUUAGAAAGCCACGGCUAACUACGUGCCAGCAGCCGCGGUAAUACGUAGGUGGCAAGCGUUGUCCGGAAUUAUUGGGCGUAAAGCGCGCGCAGGCGGUCCUUUAAGUCUGAUGUGAAAGCCCACGGCUCAACCGUGGAGGGUCAUUGGAAACUGGGGGACUUGAGUGCAGAAGAGGAAAGUGGAAUUCCAAGUGUAGCGGUGAAAUGCGUAGAGAUUUGGAGGAACACCAGUGGCGAAGGCGACUUUCUGGUCUGUAACUGACGCUGAGGCGCGAAAGCGUGGGGGAGCAACAGGAUUAGAUACCCUGGUAGUCCACGCCGUAACGAUGAAUGCUAAGUGUUAAGGGGGUUUCCGCCCCUUAGUGCUGC